GACGAACGCUGGCGGCGUGCCUAAUACAUGCAAGUAGAACGCUGAAGAGAGGAGCUUGCUCUUCUUGGAUGAGUUGCGAACGGGUGAGUAACGCGUAGGUAACCUGCCUUGUAGCGGGGGAUAACUAUUGGAAACGAUAGCUAAUACCGCAUAACAAUGGAUGACACAUGUCAUUUAUUUGAAAGGGGCAAUUGCUCCACUACAAGAUGGACCUGCGUUGUAUUAGCUAGUAGGUGAGGUAACGGCUCACCUAGGCGACGAUACAUAGCCGACCUGAGAGGGUGAUCGGCCACACUGGGACUGAGACACGGCCCAGACUCCUACGGGAGGCAGCAGUAGGGAAUCUUCGGCAAUGGGGGCAACCCUGACCGAGCAACGCCGCGUGAGUGAAGAAGGUUUUCGGAUCGUAAAGCUCUGUUGUAAGUCAAGAACGAGUGUGAGAGUGGAAAGUUCACACUGUGACGGUAGCUUACCAGAAAGGGACGGCUAACUACGUGCCAGCAGCCGCGGUAAUACGUAGGUCCCGAGCGUUGUCCGGAUUUAUUGGGCGUAAAGCGAGCGCAGGCGGUUUGAUAAGUCUGAAGUUAAAGGCUGUGGCUCAACCAUAGUUCGCUUUGGAAACUGUCAAACUUGAGUGCAGAAGGGGAGAGUGGAAUUCCAUGUGUAGCGGUGAAAUGCGUAGAUAUAUGGAGGAACACCGGUGGCGAAAGCGGCUCUCUGGUCUGUAACUGACGCUGAGGCUCGAAAGCGUGGGGAGCGAACAGGAUUAGAUACCCUGGUAGUCCACGCCGUAAACGAUGAGUGCUAGGUGUUGGAUCCUUUCCGGGAUUCAGUGCCGCAGCUAACGCAUUAAGCACUCCGCCUGGGGAGUACGACCGCAAGGUUGAAACUCAAAGGAACUGACGGGGGCCCGCACAAGCGGUGGAGCAUGUGGUUUAAUUCGAAGCAACGCGAAGAACCUUACCAGGUCUUGACAUCCCGAUGCUAUUUCUAGAGAUAGAAAGUUACUUCGGUACAUCGGUGACAGGUGGUGCAUGGUUGUCGUCAGCUCGUGUCGUGAGAUGUUGGGUUAAGUCCCGCAACGAGCGCAACCCCUAUUGUUAGUUGCCAUCAUUCAGUUGGGCACUCUAGCGAGACUGCCGGUAAUAAACCGGAGGAAGGUGGGGAUGACGUCAAAUCAUCAUGCCCCUUAUGACCUGGGCUACACACGUGCUACAAUGGUUGGUACAACGAGUUGCGAGUCGGUGACGGCAAGCUAAUCUCUUAAAGCCAAUCUCAGUUCGGAUUGUAGGCUGCAACUCGCCUACAUGAAGUCGGAAUCGCUAGUAAUCGCGGAUCAGCACGCCGCGGUGAAUACGUUCCCGGGCCU
rnacentral:rRNA from 1 species